GGUGUGACUGCGUACCUUUUGUAUAAUGGGUCAGCGACUUAUAUUCUGUAGCAAGGUUAACCGUAUAGGGGAGCCGCAGGGAAACCGAGUCUUAACUGGGCGUUAAGUUGCAGGGUAUAGACCCGAAACCCGGUGAUCUAGCCAUGGGCAGGUUGAAGGUUGGGUAACACUAACUGGAGGACCGAACCGACUAAUGUUGAAAAAUUAGCGGAUGACUUGUGGCUGGGGGUGAAAGGCCAAUCAAACCGGGAGAUAGCUGGUUCUCCCCGAAAGCUAUUUAGGUAGCGCCUCGUGAACUCAUCUUCGGGGGUAGAGCACUGUUUCGGCUAGGGGGUCAUCCCGACUUACCAACCCGAUGCAAACUACGAAUACCGAAGAAUGUUAUCACGGGAGACACACGGCGGGUGCUAACGUCCGUCGUGAAGAGGGAAACAACCCAGACCGCCAGCUAAGGUCCCAAAGUCAUGGUUAAGUGGGAAACGAUGUGGGAAGGCACAGACAGCCAGGAUGUUGGCUUAGAAGCAGCCAUCAUUUAAAGAAAGCGUAAUAGCUCACUGGUCGAGUCGGCCUGCGCGGAAGAUGUAACGGGGCUAAACCAUGCACCGAAGCUGCGGCAGCGAC
rnacentral:rRNA from 2 species